rnacentral:hammerhead_ribozyme from 1 species
CUGACGAGUCCCAAAUAGGACGAAACGCUCGUC